UGUUUGACGUUACACGUGCGCUUGAUUGUGCGCGCUCUUCGGAGGAACUCGUACGUGAAAUUUCCCUCUCCUCGUUCACGAAAGAAUAAUAUCCGUGUCCACGAGUCACGAGAUCAAUUAACAAGUCUCUGGGGACAAAAAGAGUAGACGAUCGAACUUUUCGAGCAGUUGUAUUAUCACCUCUCUCAACUUUUCUUCGUACUUUCGAGCGCUACAAGCUGACAGCGGGACGUCUGUCCCGAAUACACACGCGAUGCAAGCCGCGCGAGUCGACGUGUGUCAGAGCUCUUCUGACUCGGCAGAAGCACAGACAGAAACGAAACUACGAAACUACACAACGUGACUAACGGCGCACAGAAAAGCGAGCGUGGUCGUGUGCGUGUUCACGUGCGUGCGUGCGUGCGUGCCAGGGGAAGGGGGACGAGAAUGGAGGAGCCGACAGAGAAGGCCAAAGAGGGAGAGAGAGUGGAAAAAUGAAGAGAGGGAUGGAAAGAGCGCGGCAACGGAACGCUGGGAUAUCCACCACGCGCUAACCAAUUCCGCGAGCGUCGCGCGCGUGCGUGUGCGCGCGCACACUAAUGUACGUGAAUGUGUGCAGAGAAGCGUAUCCUCCCGUCGAGCGUGGAACGGACGAGAGCGUCGAGCUGUCAGCGCACCCCACCCCGAAAUCCCCUUUGAAACCAAUCCCUCCCAUCGUGACAAACUCCCCCCCCUCCCUUCUCUCCCGUGUCGCAGGCUCUUUCCCUUGACUAGUCGUUCCUCCAUCCCUCUUCGGACAACCCCCGGCUGUCUCAACGUCGAAAGCACUGCGCGCCUCGCACGAAAGCCGAGUAAUAAGGAAGAACUACUCUCGUCCAUCUCCUGACGCGCGGAUCAAAAUUAUCUCUCGAUAUACAAUAAAUACAAGAAAUUCUGCAUGCAAGUUGUAGAUUGUCUUGUUUGUUAAUUAUAUAUCCUUUUGCGUUAGGAUGAAAUUUUUAUCUCGACUAACGAAUGGUGGAUUCCGAAAGGAAAGAGAUGAAGGGACGAAAGAGGAGAGAUGCGCAGAGGGAGGAAAUACGAGGGAACGCCGGAAAGACGACUCGAUCCCUUUCAUUUCCACUGACGCGGACGAAUCAUAAUUCUUAUUCGCCUCCGGCUCGAAAUCAUCCCCUCCUUCUCGGCGCUCCUUCCGGUAUUCUACCUCGACCUCGGCUUUGCCCAUUUCCUUUCUGACCACCCCACUUUCGCAUCGGAGCGUGAACACCCACCCCGAAGCAACCAUAGCGGGAGAUCGAUGCGCGAAAUCAAGCGGGAAUAUCGAGUCUGGAAUCAAGUCCCGGAUCCUUGAAGCGCAAGAAUGUCAGCCGGCAGUCGAAGAGCCGGCUCGCAACAGCAGGCCAGUUAGGGAAAGACUCGUCCGAAAUCCUACGAGGGUGGAAAUUUUUUUCAAAGAAAAUGGAGUUGGCCUGCGUCCGAGCGAAGGCGACGUGAUGACUUUAUCCAAUCGACUCGAUUUCUCAUCCGCAUUCGUUCUCUACCCGCAGGCUGACCCGCAAUCCCAGGGAGGAAAGAGAAGGAAUCGUGGCGAGGGAGAGAAGCGCCCAUGACUUAUGGUCGCCAUUACGGUACCGAUAAUUAUAUGCUGCUCCGCAGCCGCUCCCUCCUGUACGAAAGGAACGAGAGGUAUAUGUAUGUAUGGUAGAUGAUAUCCUGCCUGUGCCCGACGAACUUCGAACAGCCGACCUCUAACGUAACCGCACACGCACAUCAACCAUACGCUCCUCCUGGCUCAUUGAUCGACCCGAUCGAUACGUUCCGGUAUUUCAGAAGAGUUGGAAAGUAAUUGCCUUGAUAUAUAGGGUCGAUCGUUAAUAUGUGCAAUCUGUUCCGUUGCCACAUGUGCUGGCGCGAGUGUCUAGAGAAUUUUCAGCGUCCUCUAUAUUAUUAUAAUCGAUUUUGUUAACGAUGAUUAAUGCUGUAAAUAAUUUGCGGAAGUAUCGUAGGUACGUAUCGAGGUUUAACGAAUCGGAACCGAUUUUAAUACGUCAAUAUUUAUGUAUCGAUAAUAAAUUACGAGGCACCCAAGACAGACAUCUUUUUAUUUUUGAAAAAUGCCU